UAACGUGAGCGAUCUUUCCGUGUUUAACGUUGUGGUUUAUGGGAGUAGUAGUUUUGUAAUUUUCUUUAGCAAUGAUUCCCAAUUAGGCUUAAACUACAAGUAUGUCGUAUUUCUUUGGAGGUUAGAAGAAUUGAAAGUUGGGAGUUGUAUUUUUCUAAAUAUUUUGCGACCCAGAUGUUUGUGGUCUGACGGAACACUUUCUGGGACAAAACUUCUAGCGUUAGAGAGUGAGAGAGUCAGGAAGAUACUGAUCAGAGGAACAAAUAACUUUAAAAAAAUAUACAUUCAUUAUCCUAAUGUUGACAGUUGCUAAAUGCAUAUUUUUCUCAAUUAUUCCGUGAUUUCUAACAGAGUAAGUAAGGAUCUAGGAUCAGGGCAGGCAGGGGACCUGGACGUGCAGCCAAGCCCACCAAGGAUGCACUGAGCUGGGGAACAUCUGCUGUGGCCUCCCCCUAGCACUGCCAUGGCAUCUGACCCUUCACCCCCAAGCCCCGCCCCUCUGGGCUCCCAGGUCCACGCAGCCGCCGUCAACGGAGACCGGAGCGUCCUCCUCAGACUCAUCACAGUGGAUCCCUCCCUGCGUGACCGUGAGGACCAGUUUGGGCGUACCCCACUGAUGUACUGUGUCCUGGCUGACCGUCUGGACUGUGCUGAGACACUGCUGAAGGCGGGAGCCUCUGUUAACAAGACUGACCAUAGCCAACGUACUGCGCUGCACCUGGCAGCACAGAAGGUACACUACAACACUGAGUUAACCUGGAACCACUAAAGGAAACACUAGAACAGUAGUGGAACCAUCAGAACACUGAGUUAACCUGUAGAACACUAAAGCAAACACUAGAACAGUAGUGGAACCAUCAGAACACUGAGUUAACCUGUAGAACACUAAAGGAAACACUAGAACAGUAGUGGAACCAUCAGAACACUGAGUCAAUCUGUAGAACACUAAAGGAAACACUAGAACAGUAGUGGAACCAUCAGAACACUGAGUUAACCUGUAGAACACUAAAGGAAACACUAGAACAGUAGUGGAACCAUCAGAACACUGAGUUAACCUGUAGAACACUAAAGGAAACACUAGAACAGUAGUGGAACCAUCAGAACACUGAAUUAACCUGUAGAACACUAAAGGAAACACUAGAACAGUAGUGGAACCAUCAGAACACUGAGUUAACCUGUAGAACACUAAAGGAAACACUACAACAGUAGUGGAACCAUCAGAACAUGGAGUUAACCUGUAGAACACUAAAGGAAACACUAGAACAGUAGUGGAACCAUCAGAACACUGAGUUAACCUGUAGAACGCUAAAGGAAACACUAGAACAGUAGUGGAACCAUCAGAACACUGAGUUAACCUGUAGAACACUAAAGGAAACCCUAGAACAGUAGUGGAACCACCAGAACACUGAGUUAACCUGUAGAACACUAAAGGAAACACUAGAACAGUAGUGGAACCAUCAGAACAUUGAGUCAAUCUGUAGAACACUAAAGGAAACACUAGAAAAUAGUGGAACCAUCAGAACAUUGAGUUAACCUGUAGAACAUUAAAGGAAACACUAGAACAGUAGUGGAACCAUCAGAACACUGAAUCAACCUGUAGAACACUAAAGGAAACACUACAACAGUAGUGGAACCAUCAGAACACUGAGUUAACCUGUAGAACACUAAAGGAAACACUAGAACAGUAGUGGAACCAUCAGAACACUGAAUUAACCUGUAGAACACUAAAGGAAACACUAGAACAGUAGUGGAACCAUCAGAACACUGAGUUAACCUGUAGAACACUAAAGGAAACACUACAACAGUAGUGGAACCAUCAGAACAUGGAGUUAACCUGUAGAACACUAAAGGAAACACUAGAACAGUAGUGGAACCAUCAGAACACUGAGUUAACCUGUAGAACACUAAAGGAAACCCUAGAACAGUAGUGGAACCACCAGAACACUGAGUUAACCUGUAGAACACUAAAGGAAACACUAGAACAGUAGUGGAACCAUCAGAACAUUGAGUCAAUCUGUAGAACACUAAAGGAAACACUAGAAAAUAGUGGAACCAUCAGAACAUUGAGUUAACCUGUAGAACAUUAAAGGAAACACUAGAACAGUAGUGGAACCAUCAGAACACUGAAUCAACCUGUAGAACACUAAAUUAAACACUAGAACAGUAGUGGAACCAUCAGAACACUGAGUUAACCUGUAGAACACUAAAGGAAACACUAGAACUCUUUCCAUGACAUAGACUGACCAGGUGAUUCCAUGUGAAAGCUAUGAUCCCUUAUUGAUGUCACUUGUUAAAUCCACUUCUGUCCGUGUAGAUGAAGAGGAGGAGACAGGUUAAAGAAGGAUUUUUAAGCAUUGACACAAUUAAGACAUAGAUAGGGGCAACUCAAUUUUAGGAAGGUGUUCGUAAUGUUUGGUAUACUCAGUGUAUAUCACAUACUGGUAGCUUAGGUGAGAAGGUAGUGCCCCCCAGUGGUGACAGACAGACACCCUCAGUGCGGCUGUUAAGAACUAGACAAGGGGAUCGGCAACUUUGAUGAGGGUGGGGGCCACAAAAAAUCUGAGCGAAAUGUGUACUUUGUGAGCUAAAUGUACUUUGUGAGCUAAACAUUAUAAACACCCCCCUCUUGACAGUGAAAACUUCAGAGUUAAUUUACUGCAAUUCUACACAUUUUGCCAUGGGGCAUAGAGUAAACGAAGUUUUAAAGCAAGUUUGCUGCAAUUCUACACAUUUUGCCAUGGGGCAUAGAGUAAACGAAGUUUUAAAGCAAGUUUGCUGCAAAUCUACACAUUUUGCCAUGGGGCAUAGAGUAAAUGAAGUUUUAAAGCAAGUUUGCUGCAAAUCGACACAUUUUGCCAUGGGGCAUAGAGUAAAUGAAGUUUUAAAGCAAGUUUGCUGCAAAUCUACACAUUUUGCCAUGGGGCAUAGAGUAAAUGAAGUUUUAAAGCAAGUUUGCUGCAAAUCUACACAUUUUGCCAUGGGGCAUAGAGUAAAUGAAGUUUUAAAGCAAGUUUGCUGCAAAUCUACACAUUUUGCCAUGGGGCAUAGAGUAAAUGAAGUUUUAAAGCAAGUUUGCUGCAAAUCUACACAUUUUGCCAUGGGGCAUAGAGUAAAUGAAGUUUUAAAGCAAGUUUGCUGCAAAUCUACACAUUUUGCCAUGGCUCGGGGAAAAGAUUUUGUAAUUCUACAACUCAUUUCAUGCAAUUUGACAAAUUUUGCCUUGGGGCAGGGAGAAACAUUUUCUGUUUUAAAGCUCAUUUCCCCCGGUCAGUAAUUGAUAUCAAGUUUAGAUAGCUGGCCACAAGACUAACUUACCAUAUAAAAUGUUUUAGCUGACAUGGCUAAUUGAGUGACUAUCAGUGACUGACAUCACAAGUGAAAAACUGUUGAUGCACAACCAAGUUUCAAAAUGUCACCUUGUGUAUUCUACUAUUCCAACUCUCAGCAGUAAGUUGAGACCCCGACUGAGUUCCUAAAAAAGAUAUCUAGAUCUAGAAAAUGAAUUGAAAGACUGGGCUGUAUGAGCAGUAAUAUCUCUAUAGAAAGUGUUUAUUAGCCUUGUCCUGGGGGGGGGGGGGGCUGUCAGGGCAGGUGAGGAGCGGUGGCUGGAGGAGCGGAGGAGGGUGCUCACACACACACUCUAACACACACACACUCCAAUUGUAAUGUGUGUGGGGUGAUGGGAGGCCCUCUCUCUCUCUGACACCUGAUCAAUAUCUAGCUGAGACAGGGAGAGACUUCUGGGAUUACUGAUCUAAUUGGACUGAGAAUAGGGAGGAUAGACCAUAUGUACACACACGCGCACACACACUCACACACACACUCAUACACACACACACACACACACACACACACACACACACACACACACACACACACACACACACAUACAGGCCUAUAUGGACACACAUUUGCACGUGCACACACAUAUAUACAUACAUACACACACACACACACACACUUUCUCAAAGCUCACACAUACUCUCACAUGCAUGCUCAGUCAGCAGAUAGAUCUGUCAAACGAUGAGGCUGGAAGGAAUAGAUAGGAGAGAGUCUGAGAACUAACAGGAAAGAACAGAGAGGAGAAGAGAGGAGAGAGUCUGAGAACCAAUAAGAAAGAACAGAGAGGAGAAGAGAGGAGAGGAGAGAGUCUGAGAACCAACAGGAAAGAACAGAGAGGAGAGAGUCUGAGAACCAACAGGAAAGAACAGAGAGGAGAAGAGAGGAGAGAGUCUGCGAACCAACAGGAAAGAACAGAGAGGAGAGAGUCUGAGAACCAACAGGAAAGAACAGAGAGGAGAAGAGAAGAGAGGAGAGAGUCUGAGAACCAACAGGAAAGAACAGAGAGGAGAGAGUCUGAGAACCAACAGGAAAGAACAGAGAGGAGAAGAGAGUGGAGAGAGUCUGAGAACCAACAGGAAAGAAGAGAGAGGAGAAGAGAGAGGAGAGAGUCUGAGAACCAAUAGGAAAGAAGAGAGAGGAGAAGAGAGAGGAGAGAGUCUGAGAACCAACAGGAAAGAACAGAGAGGAGAGAGUCUGAGAACCAACAGGAAAGAACAGAGAGGAGAAGAGAGAGGAGAGAGUCUGAGAACCAAUAAGAAAGAACAGAGAAGAGAGAGAAGAGAGUCUGAGAACCAACAGGAAAUAACAGAGAGGAGAAGAGAGGAGAGAGUCUGAGAACCAACAGGAAAGAAGAGAGAGGAGAAGAGAGAGGAGAGAGUCUGAGAACCAACAGGAAAUAACAGAGAGGAGAAGAGAGAGAAGAGAGUCUGAGAACCAACAGGAAAUAACAGAGAGGAGAAGAGAGGAGAGAGUCUGAGAACCAACAGGAAAGAACAGAGAGGAGCGAGUCUGAGAACCAACAGGAAAGAACAGAGAGGAGAAGAGAAGAGAGGAGAGAGUCUGAGAACCAACAGGAAAGAACAGAGAGGAGAAGAGAAGAGAGGAGAGAGUCUGAGAACCAACAGGAAAGAACAGAGAGGAGAGAGUCUGAGAACCAACAGGAAAGAACAGAGAGAAGAGAGUCUGAGAACCAACAGGAAAGAACAGAGAGGAGAAGAGAGAGGAGAGAGUCUGAGAACCAAUAAGAAAGAACAGAGAAGAGAGAGAAGAGAGUCUGAGAACCAACAGGAAAGAACAGAGAGGAGAAGAGAGUGGAGAGAGUCUGAGAACCAAUAGGAAAGAAGAGAGAGGAGAAGAGAGAGGAGAGAGUCUGAGAACCAAUAGGAAAGGACAGAGAGGAGAAGAGAGAGGAGAGAGUCUGAGAACCAACAGGAAAGAACAGAGAGGAGAGAGUCUGAGAACCAACAGGAAAGAACAGAGAGGAGAAGAGAGUGGAGAGAGUCUGAGAACCAAUAAGAAAGAACAGAGAAGAGAGAGAAGAGAGUCUGAGAACCAACAGAAAAUAACAGAGAGGAGAAGAGAGGAGAGAGUCUGAGAACCAAUAGGAAAGAAGAGAGAGGAGAAGAGAGAGGAGAGAGUCUGAGAACCAAUAGGAAAGGACAGAGAGGAGAAGAGAGAGGAGAGAGUCUGAGAACCAACAGGAAAGAACAGAGAGGAGAGAGUCUGAGAACCAACAGGAAAGAACAGAGAGGAGAAGAGAGUGGAGAGAGUCUGAGAACCAAUAAGAAAGAACAGAGAAGAGAGAGAAGAGAGUCUGAGAACCAACAGGAAAUAACAGAGAGGAGAAGAGAGGAGAGAGUCCGAGAACCAACAGGAAAGAACAGAGAGGAGAAGAGAGGAGAGAGUCUGAGAACCAACAGGAAAGAACAGAGAGGAGCGAGUCUGAGAACCAACAGGAAAGAACAGAGAGGAGAAGAGAGAGGAGCGAGUCUGAGAACCAAUAAGA